rnacentral:rRNA from 1 species
UACGAAGGGGGCUAGCGUUGUUCGGAAUUACUGGGCGUAAAGCGCGCGCAGGCGGUCCUUCAAGUCAAGAGGUGAAAGCCCAGAGCUCAACUCUGGAAAUGGCCUUUGAGACUAGAAGGACUUGGGUACGGGAGAGGUGAGUGGAAUUCCGAGUGUAGAGGUGAAAUUCGUAGAUAUUCGAAGAACACCAGUGGCGAAGG